GGAAGAGAAAGAGGCUCAGGUUCUGUUGUCCCGGCUCCACCUGCUCCGGGGGACGCUGAGGACUCGGGCCGGCUGGGGAAGCGCCGACUCAGCAACUCCUCGUGCCCAGUGUCUCAGCACUUUCCAGUCACCUGGGAAGACAAGCCAUGUCCUGCCUCAGCCUGCCUCCUGCUGACACUCCUGGCCCUCCCUCCUGUGACCCCCAGCUGCCCUAUGCUCUGCACCUGCUACUCCUCUCCGCCCACAGUGAGCUGCCAGGCCAACAACUUCUCCUCGGUGCCGCUGUCCUUGCCACCCAGUACACAGCGACUCUUCUUGCAGAACAACCUCAUUCGCUCACUGCGGCCAGGAACUUUUGGGCCCAACCUGCUCACCCUGUGGCUCUUCUCCAACAACCUCUCCACCAUCUACCCUGGCACCUUCCGCCAUCUGCAGGCCCUAGAGGAACUGGACCUCGGUGACAAUCGGCACCUGCGCUCCCUGGAGCCUGACACCUUCCAGGGCCUGGAGAGGCUGCAGUCACUACAUCUGUACCGGUGCCAGCUCAGCAGUCUGCCUGGCAACAUCUUCCGAGGCCUGGUCAGCCUACAGUACCUCUACCUCCAGGAGAACAGCCUG
rnacentral:lncRNA from 1 species